UAAGAAUUUCUUUGUUUAGCAGAUUAAAAAACUAGAAUUUCCAGCUUUCCAGGAUAUUUGGAGGCAUUCAUGUUACAUUUAAACUUUCAUCGUUUGAGAGUUUGCCAUAUUAUCUCUUCCAUUUUUGUCAGAUAAGGUAGUAAAAAUAUCAUACCAAUCUUACUUAUUUUAAUCACUCUCUUCGUUAUUUUGAUAAUUUUUUGGUUUUAUGCAGAGAACAACAUCACUGGCAGGUAUUUCUCUCCCAGUCUUUCCCAAUAUUGAUUUCUGCUUGAGUCAACCUAGAUUGAAAUUCUUACUUAUAUUAGUAUUAAGCUGCAGUAACACAGGCUUCAUUGAAAUCCAUUUUAUCUACAGCUGCUUGAUUAUUUUGAAAUUGUAUACUCCAAUAUGUUGGGCCACUGAAAUCGUUGCAAGAGAGAAGACAAUCAUUUUCUCUCCCUGAAACUUUUGUUUCCUAACCCAGUGCACUAUGUCAGAUUUCAUGAGAGAAACAAUAAACAAAUACUUUCUAAUAAAUAAAUAAAAUUCCUUUUCACUCUGUAAAAACAAAGUUUCACAACAUAGGUAAAAUGCAAAAAUCUAAGGCAAGUACUCAGGAAAGGCUUACAACUCCCAGGUCCUUGUGUUGAAUUAUAACUGCAAGGCAAUAUAUUUUUUAAGUGUUUAUUAAAGAAAAAGAAAGCAGAAAGCUUCAGGAAAGUAAGAGCAUAAGGGAGUAGAGAAGAGACAAAUCAGAAUGCUGUUUUGGUGUUUGGGGUCUUUGCUUCAAGCAUAAAACUUUUUUUUUUCCCCCUAGAAACACUAAAUAAAUAAAUAAAUGAAGACUGACUGAUUUGAAAUAUAAAACCUCAACCCUGAAGUCAGGCCACAAACUCUUUGAAUUUCUUCCUGCUCACAAGGAUCCCAGUGUAACAAAAUUGUGGAAAUCUUGCAUCCUGCCUAUGACAUCCAAUUAUUGAAACACUCUAAAUAGUAUUCCCUAUUUUUACGAAUGAUUAUAAUUGAGUAAUUAUUCCCAGCCCAUGUAUCAGAAUUUAUUUGAUCUUCAUGAAAUCUGAUGUAGAGCACUGGUUUAGUAAAUGAAAGUUUCAGGGGGAGAAAAUGAUUAUCUUAAGGGGUUUACAACAUUUGGUGCAACAAAAAUUAAAAUUAGGAAGUGAAGAAACAGAGCAAAAGGAAAAUAUCAGUGGGAAAUUAAAAUGACACAAGGAGCAAAUGUAAUAAAUAUAUGGACAAUAUUAAGUCUAACAUACUUCCUAGAGAUAAGCCGCAGACUGGGCUCUCGCAAACCACAGAUGACGAAAGAGAAAUAUGGUAAUUUACAUGACUCACACAGUGUCUGUAAUAUCACAGCAAACCAGUCCUACCAGGGUACUGAGGGCAUAGUGAAAUUUCAGUAAUACCACUUUCAAUAAUACCAUUGCCUUACAGGCAAUAUUAUGUUCCACUGGCCUUUUUCUUACAUGUUUCUUAAUUUAUUCUGAUGGCAUAGCAGAGAGGCUCAUAUCAAUGCCUUUGGUUCUUUGAAAGAUGAAAUUGUUUACGAAGGUAUUGUGUCCAAAUAAGCCCAUUAUAAGUCGAAAAUGUAUUUACUGCAUGUAACCUACCAAACAGCACUUAAUGCUGUCCUACAUUUGAACAUAAUCAUGUAACACAGAGCCUAUUUUCUAAUUGCCUGUUGGAUAGUCCAUGCAGUUUAUUGAAUACUGUACUGAAAGUGAAAACCAGCAUGGUUGUAUAGAUAGAGAAUGGUUGUAAAUGUAUGGCUUGUUUACCCUCAAGAUCGCAUGGCUGACUGGGCUACACAGGAGAGUAUUGUACCACGUAUUGCUAGGCUGGGAACAGAUCAGAUCUCCAAAUUUGAAGCACCGAUUCUACUCAGUGCGUAUUGUUUUCACACCAUUGUAAGGUCAAUAAAUUUUAAAUUAAAUCCUCUUAAGUCAGGGAUUGCCUGUAGUAUAAUAAUACCAUAUUAUCAUCUGAACAAAGCAGAGGGUAAGUUUGAUUUAUGCCAAUGUGUAGUCCCCAGAAUGGGAUGGGCAGGAGUAUCUUUGGGCAUUGGUGGAAUGACAUAUCAGGACUUUUUUUGCAUUUUAAUUUUGUUUUAGCUUUAAGAAAACAAAAAUAGAUAUUAAGCUUUAAUGGUGUUACUCCAUAUAGAUUGAGACUGUUGUACUCAGUUGUGUCUUGGAUAGAGUGCUGGUGCCUUGGUUAAGGGAGAGAGAGUAUUCCACGAGGCACAGAGUUUAAUUGUGGUACCUUCACUGUUUAGUUCGUGACACUUAGACAAUAUCUAGUUAAGCUGAUUUUUUGGUAAUAUUUACGUUUGUUCUACCUAAAUUGAUGCUCAUAAAAUAAGUGACGUAAAGAAAUUGUAGUGUGAAAAUAAUAGUAAAAAGUCAAACAUGGGUAAAUAGCAAGAAGAAAAGAGCUAAGUUACCACUGCUUUUUUUAUUUGCUAUUCAUAAACCUAAUUUUAAAACAGUCUAAAUAAAUCUGACAAGAAGUCAUCCAAAAAUACUUGAUUAUCGGAAAGACUAUUUGAAAUAAAGAUUUACUUCUACUAUCAUUAUCUACCUAUUGUGCUUUGAAAGAGUAGUUACUCUGAACCUAUUAUAAGUCAUAUGAUACAUCUAGAACUAAAUAUCCAGAGCUCGAAGACAAAUCCCAUUUUCUUCAGAAGUUUAAAUUCAGUUGAUACUCAAGUAUUUUGCACAGUUUCACUAAACACAAUGAUAAAUAUUCAAAAAUCCCCUUUGUGAUUCUUAACAACAAAAGACAAAAAGCGUAUCCUCUGGGAAAUCUCAUAUUCUGCCUGUCAUAUGAAUUUUGCCAUAUUAUUGCAUAAAAUGACAAAUGUUUCUAAUUUGUUUCAGCUUACCUUAUUUCAAAAUUUUGAGUGAAUUAUAAGGAAAAAAACUUAUUGAAAGAAACUUAUUCUACGGCAAGAGCAUUCUGAGCAUGGAUUUUAGAAAUGUUUUAGAAUUAUUUACAACUUUUUUUGCCCCAAAUAGAGUCCCCGUCAUGGCACAGUGGAAACAAAUCUGACUAGGAAUGAUAGGGUUGCAGGUUUGAUCCCUGGCCUCGCUCAGUGGAUUAAGGAUCUGACAUUGCCAUGAGCUGUGGUGUAGGUUGCACA
ensembl:lncRNA